CCUGACCGAGCACAGCGCAUCGAACUAAGCGGGCCCUGCGGAAGGUUCACCCCAAUUGCCGAAGCCGAGAUCGAAGCAAUCCACGUAGCGAUUAACACACUACUCGACGGGUUCAAGGGAGGCAAUAUCCCACCCGCCGACGUUGUCGUGCUCACUGACUCCAGAUCAGCGCUUCAGGCACUAACACACUGUCCCAGCCGAAAGCUAGAGGACACCCUCCGCAAUAUUGCUACGCUCAGAAUGACUCACGAUAAGUCAGUAACAAUACAAUGGAUCCCAUCCCACUCACGCCUGGCGGGUAACGAGAGAGCAGACGAGCUGGCCAAGCACGGCGCUGACCAGCCACAACCCGAGACACCGGUCUCACUCCCGCCAUCAAGACCCUGUUGAGGGCACACUUUAGGAAUAAGUGGAUCCGACGAUGGCGAGACGGCAACACGGGAAGAGUGGUGUGGGAGAAGUUGGAUCGGGGUCUUGGACGCUGUUCUUCGUGAGCGGCCGUGCAAGAGCGUCCUACCCAGUCACGCUUCAGCAGAUAUUAAUGUCGGUGCCAGCAGCCGCGGUAAUUCCAGCUCCAAUAGCGUAUAUUAAAGUUGUUGCAGUUAAAAAGCUCGUAGUUGGAUCUCGGGUGCAGGCGGGCGGUCCGGCUCGCGCCGGUUCACUGCCCGUAUUAAAUCCUGCCCUACUUGUCUGUCGGCUCUCUCCCGCGGGUGCUCUUCGCUGAGCGUCCCGGGUGGCCGACGCGUUUACUUUGAAAAAAUUAGAGUGUUCAAAGCAGGCAUUCACAAGCCUGAAUAAUGGUGCAUGGAAUAAUGGAAUAGGACCUCGGUUCUAUUUUGUUGGUUUUCGGAACUGGAGGUAAUGAUUAACAGGGACAAACGGGGGCAUUCGUAUUCCGGGAAACCAAAGGUUUUGGGCUCCGGGGAAGUAUGGUUGCAAAUCUGAAACUUAAAGGAAUUGACGGAAGGGCUUAAUUUGACUCAACACGGGAAAACUCACCCGGUCCGGACACUGUAAGGAUUGACAGAUUGAUAGCUCUUUCUUGAUUCGGUGGGUGGUGGUGCAUGGCCGUUCUUAGUUGGUGGAGCGAUUUGUCUGGUUAAUUCCGAUAACGAACGAGACUCUAGCCUAUUAAAUAGUUCGCCUCGGUGGUUCUAUUGCCGAUGGCGUACACUUCUUAGAGGGACGAGUGGCGUUUAGCCACACGAAAUUGAGCAAUAACAGGUCUGUGAUGCCCUUAGAUGUCCGGGGCCGCACGCGCGCUACACUGAAGGAAUCAGCGUGGAUGCCUCCCUGGCCCGAAAGGGCUGGGAAACCCGUUGAAUCUCCUUCGUGCUAGGGAUUGGGGCUUGUAAUUGUUCCCCAUGAACGAGGAAUUCCCAGUAAGCGCGAGUCAUAAGCUCGCGUUGAUUACGUCCCUGCCCUUUGUACACACCGCCCGUCGCUACUAUCGAUUGAGCGGUUCAGUGAGGGCCUCGGAUUGGUCUCGGUCUGGCGUGCAAGCGCCGGCACCGUUGGCCGAGAAGACGCUCGAACUCGAUCGCUUGGAGAAAGUAAAAGUCGUAACAAGGUUUCCGUAGGUGAACCUGCGGAAG
rnacentral:rRNA from 1 species